rnacentral:rRNA from 1 species
UACGGAGGGUGCAAGCGUUGUCCGGAUUUAUUGGGUUUAAAGGGUGCGUAGGUGGUCUGUUAAGUCUGGUUUGAAAGCGGGUGGCUCAACCAUCCGAUGUGGCUGGAAACUGGGGGACUUGAAUGGGUUGGCGGCUGCCGGAACGGGUCAUGUAGCGGUGAAAUGCAUAGAUAUGACCCAGAACACCGAUUGCGAAGGCAGGCAGCUAGGACCACAAUUGACACUGAGGCACGAGAGCAUGGAUAGCCAACAGG